GCAGUGGUGAUUCAGUGGUAGAAUUCUUGCCUUCCAUGCAGGAGAUGGGGUUCGGCUCCUGCCCAGUACA
rnacentral:tRNA from 1 species